CACCGCCUUCUGCUGCUCACCGAAUACAGAGUAGCCUAUGCUUUAGAAACAUCAGACAGAGAUAAACGUAUUUUUAAAUGGAAAACAAAAAUGUUGGUGUUACCAUCACAGAACUGCAAGAAAGACAUUCAUCGUCAGGAGUAAAGGCAGAUGCACGAAGAGCUCAUGGAAUUCGCAAGAGCAGAGUAGAUUCAGUCAAGUGCAGCAGAGACCAAGACCGAUACAGGCUGGUAAUUUCAAUCCGUUUCCACCGUGGUAAUUUGGAAUUCCACUGAAUACACAUUAAAAAAAUAAAAAUAGAGACACUCAGGGCUCAAACCCAAAAUGAUUGGCACCGCUGACGAAGAUGAGAAAAAAAAGACCAUAUUACAAGCAACACAAGUAAUGAGCUAUAUUGUAGACUCAAAAAAUGGAACAAUUAUACAAAUGCAAUUCCUCAAAGAACAAGUGGGUUUUUUAACAAGCAAUAAUUUCACUUCCCAAAAAUAGGUGUCAGAAUGAUUGACACCCCUGUUUUGGUACUUUGUGCACCCUCUCAUAGCUGUACUGAUUCAUGAAAUAGGGUUUUAUGAGCUCACUGAACAUGGGGACUCUGAGACCAUUCCAACAUCCAUUAGGUCUGUGCAUGUGGACUCUGGCUGUUAAAAUUCACAUCACGAAUUUCCAAUCAGGUUGAAGACUGGAGGCUGAAUAGCUAUUGGGGGGGCUAUGGUCAAUAAUAAUUUCUUGGUUGAAUUUGAGCUACGCUUGCGAUCACUGUCUUGUGGAAAGAUAGGCAGCAACCUAAAGCUAACCUAAGGGUCACAGGUUCGAUUCCCUGCUAGGACACUGCCGUUGUAUCCUUGAUCAAGGUACU